rnacentral:rRNA from 1 species
UACAGAGGGUGCGAGCGUUAAUCGGAAUUACUGGGCGUAAAGCGCGCGUAGGCGGCUUUGCAAGUCGGGUGUGAAAUCCCCAGGCUUAACCUGGGAACUGCAUUCGAGACUGCAUUGCUAGAGUAUGGGAGAGGGAAGUGGAAUUUCCGGUGUAGCGGUGAAAUGCGUAGAUAUCGGGAGGAACACCAGUGGCGAAGGCGACUUCCUGGCCUGUUCUUGACGCUGAGGCGCGAAAGCUAGGGUAGCAAACGGG